rnacentral:rRNA from 1 species
UACGGAAGGUGCAAGCGUUAGUCGGAAUUACUGGGCGUAAAGGGUGCGUAGGCGGAGAUGUAAGUCGGGCGUGAAAUCCCAGGGCUCAACCCUGGAACUGCGUACGAAACUACAUUUCUUGGGGAAUGGCGGAGAAAAUGGAAUUCCAUAUGUAGCGGUGAAAUGCGUAGAUAUAUGGAAGAACACCUGUGGCGAAAGCGGUUUUCUAGCCUCCUCCCGACGCUGAGGCACGAAAGCAAGGGGAG